rnacentral:rRNA from 1 species
GCAACCCUGACGCAGCGACGCCGCGUGGAUGAUGAAGGCCUUCGGGUUGUAAAAUCCUGUCAGAUGGGAAGAAGUGCCAGUUAUCUAAUAGGUGAUUGGUUUGACGGUACCAUCAGAAGGAAGCACCGGCUAACUCCGUGCCAGCAGCCGCGGUAAUACGGAGGGUGCAAGCGUUGUUCGGAAUUACUGGGCGUAAAGCGCGCGUAGGCGGCUUUUUAAGUCAGAUGUGAAAGUCCAUGGCUCAACCAUGGAAGUGCAUUUGAAACUGGGGAGCUUGAGUACUGGAGGGGGUAGUGGAAUUCCCGGUGUAGAGGUGAAAUUCGUAGAGAUCGGGAGGAAUACCGGUGGCGAAGGCGRCUWCCUGGCYAGAUACUGACGCUGAGGUGCGAAAGCGUGGGGWUUAAACAGGAUUAGAUACCCUGGUAGUCCACGCCGUAAACGAUGAGAACUAGGUGUUGGG